CAGGUGUAUAUCAGAUUGGGCCAUUCCCCCCUGCUUAUUUCUCGGCCAGGUCUAGCCUAAUUGGACCGACUCAGCCCAAAUUCGCAUUAAUAUAUAAACCACAAAUACACAAAAACACACCCUUGUCGGCAUUUCAAUGAAGAAACACGGGUUUUAUUCGAAACCCUAGCGCCGCCAGGAGGCGGUUGCCUCUCUCUUCCCUCAUCCAAGCCGUUUUCAAUAAAAAAAAAAAAAAACAUGUGUACACACCUUUUAUAGUCUCAGUACGGCUAGGAGAGAAUGUUUUCCUCCUCUCUACACCAAAACGUAACCAAACACGGUAUAUCUCGCCUCCUUGUCUGUUUUUUCUGAUGAAUUCAGGGUCAACGAGUACGAAUCCCAUUAUAGGAUUUGUCCCAAACGAUUUUGAACUCUUGGUUCCCAUUGGUUCAUCCAAAACCGAUGAGAUUGACCAAGAACCAUUCAAAUCUGACCCUUCGUGUUGUUUUUGUUUAAAACAUGACCAUCGAGUGUUGAUAGGAAGGAAUUAUUCCCAAAUCGACUGAGUUGGGUUUCAUCUCAAUUUGGGGUUCUAUAUAAAGAUUUCACAACACACAAGGACAAGCCUUAUAUUGACUGAGCAUAAAACUUGAUUUAACUAGGGUUACCUAGAAUUGCUUAAAACCUUGACCUAAUCGAGUCUUUAGUCUAAAAAAAAUUUAUUAUUUUUUUUUGUGUGUCUGAGUUUUUUUGGUGUUGGGAAGCAAAAGAGCAUUCCAGUUCCAUUCUCGACUAAGGGCUGCACAGAGAAAAGGCCUUUUCUCACAUGAAACCAGUGUUGGGCCAAAGGCCCAACAACACUCUUAUUCUAUCGAGUCUGCACGAAUGAAGAUGAUUGAAGGCCCAACCAUGGAUGAAAAUGGCGACUAGUGGGCUUCGGUAGGUCCAUAUAUAUAUAUAUAAAUUAGGAAAUUCGUGUAGAAAAGUUUAGUAUUUUUAUCAAAUGAUUUUCUCAAAGUGGAACACGGCUAAAUUGACAAAAUAUUGGGAUUUUUAUCAAGUCUUUGAAGUAUGUUAAAACUGAAACUUUAGAAGUAUACGAGUAUAUAUGUAUAAACGAUUUUGAAUAAAGAAACAUUGGAACUUGUUUUGGGCCUGCAAAGCCUUCAAAAAAAAAAAGGCAAUUUUGCGAAUUGCCCUUCUUUUGGGGUGGUCUUUAAAUUUUGCCCCUCAUAUUUGAAAUCUUUAAGUUUUGCCCUUCGGCUAAACCCAUGCGAAUUGAUCCUUCUUUUGGGGUGGUCUUUAAAUUUUGCCCCUCAUAUUUGAAAUCUUUAAGUUUUGCCCUUUGGCUAAACCCCAUGGGUUUCAGGUUCGAAUCCCUACACAGUCAAAAUCUUAAAAAAAAAAUUGCAAGGCAGAGUUUAAAUUCGCUAUGCCCCCACCGACACACACUUGUGAAGAAAUUAUCAAAGUUAUGCUGGACUCGGCAUACUUAUGCCUUAUGGGCAGACUUGGCAUAAGUAUGUCGGGUCCGGCAUAACUUUGAUAAUUCCUUCACAUGUUUAUGCCGGAUCUGGCAUAAAAGUUUGCCCAUUAAAAGUAUGCCCCCAACAGCAUAAACUUGUUAAGGAAUUACCAAACUUAUGCCGGUUUCGGCAUACUUAUGCCUUAUGGGCAGACUUCGCAUAAGUAUGCCGGGUUCGGCAUAACUUUGGUAAUUCCUUCACAAGUUUAUGCCUGAUUCGGCAUAAAAGUUUGCCCAUUGAAAGUAUGCCCUCACCGGAUGAGAGUACCUAGGAAGAAUUUCAUUGUCCUCCUUUCAAUAUUAUUACAGAACUAAAAGGCUUCAUGGUAAAAACUUUAUGUGUGGCCUCUUCCACUCAUCGUCAUGCAAAUGUUGUCAACAAUUAUCAUAGUGUUAAUACUCGUGAAAAAUUAGGUUUAGAUAUAAUGGAACAAAAUCACGACUAUUCUUUUCUAACACUACCCCAUAAAAUAUUAACAAGAGCAGUUAUGAUAUAUCCAAUAUAGGAAAUGUAGCAAAGAAAGUCUUUAGGCCACAAUGACACAAAAAUCACUUGAAUUUUAAUAGAGCAUUUUGAUGUCACUAAAAAUUUGUAAAAAGUUGACAUGAGAUCUCAAAGUUAUGCCGGAUCCAGCAUAAACUUAUGAAGGAAUUAUCAAAGUUAUGUUGGACCUGGCAUACUUAUGUCAAGUCUGCCCAUAAGACAUGAGUAUGUCGGAUCCGGCAUAACUUUGGUAAUUCCUUCAUAAGUUUAUGCCGGGUCCGGCAUACACGCGACCCAAACCUUGCCUUGCGGUUUUCUUUUUUAAUUUAUGCUUGAAUGGGGGUUCGAACUCAGAAUCUCAUUAUUUUUGCGUGAACGCUCAAUGUUGCAAUGCGAAGGGCAAAAAUUAAAGACCAGCAAUAUAAGGGGCAUAAUUUAAAGAUCACAAAUAUGAGGGGCAAAAUUUAAAGACAACCCCAAAAAGAAGGGCAAUCCGUGCAAAAUUUGAAAAGAGACAAAUCUCAUCAGAUCCAUAAUCAGUCCGCUAAUUUUUCUUCGUUCUGAAUCCGCAUAGUGCGAUAAUCGAAUUUGAGAUUAACAGAAAGUUUCAUAUUCUUGAAAUUUCCAGCCUGUACUUAAGACCAAAGAGGAAAUUAUAACUUGAAAAAAGGAAGUAGAAAGAGGAAUUCCUAAUGUCUCAUAUUCAAAUAACGGAGACUGAAAACAACAAGUAGAAAAAAAAAAUUAAACAAGAACAAAAAAGAAGAGGAAUUCAAGUGGGUGGACAAGACGGAGGUAUUUGCCACAUAAAAGGAACUUUCGUAAUGGUACAAACGUGAUCUGAACAAACUAAACCUAAACUCUAAAUUCCUGGAUCUGUAUUGCCUAUAUAUGAUUUGGCAUAUAGUUGCUAAUUUUGAAGAAUGGCUUCAUUCUCUCAGUAUUUUUUCUAGAUCUGUGCUUUUUCAAAUCAUGUUUGUUUAGAUCUGCCACCAAAGCAAGGCUUGAACUCGCCAAAGAAGACAUCAGAGAAAGAUGGGCGGUGAAAUUUUUGGAGGAAACAGAAAAUGGGAAAAAAGGGAAUUGGGAAAGGAAAUGUGGGGUGGCUCUGUUUUGGAUGAAACAGAGAAUGGGAAAAAAGGAAAGGGAAGGGUGGACUUUUAUGUUUUUCCAGAUCCGUUAUGUUUUGUAAUUAAAUUGGUAUAUUUUGUAAAUAAGAAAAAAUAUUCUUAUGUUUUGUAAUAUAGAGUCCUAAGUGGUAUUAUUAGGUUAUUUCCCUUUUGAAAAAAGAGUAAUAGCAAAUAAACUUCUUUCAA